CCAUUCUGGUUGGUAAACACCAGCUAGCGCUUGUGCUUGCAUAGCAUCAUAUCCAUUCUGGAUAUAACAAACAGAUUCAACAAUCAAAAGAUGAAUAUCAGUUGCAACACAUAGAGCCAUCUAAUUAAGGUAGUAAUUACAAGAAAGUCUGAUGCUGGACAAAUAUGACGACAGCAUCCAACUUCAUCUUUUCUUCAAAGAAAUGCAGGACAAAGAUUGAAGCAAGCAAAUUUUGUUAGCAAAUAUUACGAAGCCUUUUUAACAGGAAAGGUCUAAUUAUGCUUUAAGACUCAAAACUGACUCACUGCCUGUUGCCAAUCAUGAGAAGGUUCAGAUGGCGGGACUGGGCCAUAGGCAGGUUCACUGAAAUAUGAGGUCCUCUCUUUGUUUCGAGGAGAU
rnacentral:lncRNA from 1 species